GAAAACCAGCAAGUGGGUCCAAAGGAAUUGCAGAAGAACAUCAAAGAUAAGUUCAAGAUAGAUUUACCAUACAUGAGGUUGUUCAAUGGUAAACAACAUGCUAUGGAUUCUAUUUAUGGUAACUGGCAGAAAAGUUUUCAAUUGUUGUAUUCAUUCAAAGGUGAAGUGGAGAGGACAAGCCCAGGUAGUAUUGUAGAUAUUGAUCACCACACCGUGGAGUACACAUUCAGGGGAGUGACAAAGACCAAGGAAUGCUUUAGGAGGGUUUUGGUCUUCUUUGAGGCUUGUCGCCGGGGUUUUUUGGCAGGCUGCAGGCCUUAG
rnacentral:rRNA from 1 species